rnacentral:rRNA from 1 species
ACGAACGCUGGCGGCAGGCUUAACACAUGCAAGUCGAACGGUUGUAGCAAUACAGCAGUGGCAGACGGGUGAGUAACACGUGGGAACCUUCCUAGGGGUACGGAACAACUCAGGGAAACUUGAGCUAAUACCGUAUACGUCCGUGAGGAGAAAGAUUUAUCGCCCCUAGACGGGCCCGCGUAGGAUUAGGUAGUUGGUGGGGUAAUGGCCUACCAAGCCUACGAUCCUUAGCUGAUCUGAGAGGAUGAUCAGCCACACUGGGACUGAGACACGGCCCAGACUCCUACGGGAGGCAGCAGUGGGGAAUCUUGGACAAUGGGCGCAAGCCUGAUCCAGCCAUGCCGCGUGAGUGAAGAAGGCCUUCGGGUUGUAAAGCUCUUUUACCAGGGACGAUAAUGACGGUACCUGGAGAAUAAGCCCCGGCAAACUUCGUGCCAGCAGCCGCGGUAAU